AACGCGAAGAACCUUACCCAGGCUCGAAAUAUAGAGGACGAUAUCAGAGAUGAUAUUUUCCGCAAGGACUUCUACAUAGGUGCUGCAUGGCUGUCGUCAGCUCGUGCCGUGAGGUGUUGGGUUAAGUCCCGCAACGAGCGCAACCCUUAUCAUUAGUUGCCAACAUUUAAGGUGGGGACUCUAAUGAGACUGCCUGGGUUAACCAGGAGGAAGGUGAGGAUGACGUCAAGUCCGCAUGGCCUUUAUGUCUGGGGCUACACACGUGCUACAAUGGUCGGUACAGAAGGCAGCAAGACCGUAAGGUGGAGCAAAUCCGUAAAGCCGAUCACAGUUCAGAUUGUAGUCUGCAACUCGACUACAUGAAGUUGGAAUUGCUAGUAAUGACGUGUCAGCAACAACGUCGUGAAUACGUUCCCGGGCCUUGUACACACCGACGCAC
rnacentral:rRNA from 1 species